GAACGCUGGCGGCAGGCCUAACACAUGCAAGUCGAGCGGAUGAAGGGAGCUUGCUCCUGGCUUCAGCGGCGGACGGGUGAGUAAUGCCUAGGAAUCUGCCUGGUAGUGGGGGAUAACGUCCGGAAACGGGCGCUAAUACCGCAUACGUCCUGAGGGAGAAAGUGGGGGAUCUUCGGACCUCACGCUAUCAGAUGAGCCUAGGUCGGAUUAGCUAGUUGGUGGGGUAAAGGCCUACCAAGGCGACGAUCCGUAACUGGUCUGAGAGGAUGAUCAGUCACACUGGAACUGAGACACGGUCCAGACUCCUACGGGAGGCAGCAGUGGGGAAUAUUGGACAAUGGGCGAAAGCCUGAUCCAGCCAUGCCGCGUGUGUGAAGAAGGUCUUCGGAUUGUAAAGCACUUUAAGUUGGGAGGAAGGGCAGUAAGUUAAUACCUUGCUGUUUUGACGUUACCAACAGAAUAAGCACCGGCUAACUUCGUG
rnacentral:rRNA from 1 species